rnacentral:lncRNA from 1 species
CCUGUCGUCGUCGGUCGUAGUCGUUUGACUCUGACUUCUGGUACACGAGCAAUCUCGUAUCUCUUGUGGCUGAGGGUGUCUUUCUUCUCGCCUUCCCAGCGAGCCGCAGUAGGAGGAACGCUCUAGAAGUACGGUCCGGGCGCUAAGAUCGAGAGGUAUUGAUCCCGCGCGGUUGAUGGUUUUUUGGUCAGCUUUUCCGUGAGUGACGAAUUACUUGUAUAACUGCAGUUUGGUGUGCUCGAACGGCGAGAGUGACAGUGGCAGUAGGCUGUGAAAUUGAUUUUUACUGCGGCUGGCCAAAACGGAAGAAACGCGCCGAUCGAAGUCGGAAAAUUCGCAAGGGCAGUCGCCACCAGAGUCAGAGGGGUUUGUCUCAAUUUUUCACUUUUCCGUGCUGUCACAGGAAAAAAAGAGAGUGUGAGUGUGUGUGCGGGGGAAAAUCGGGCGACCAAAUAGCAUUCGAGCAGAAAAAAAGUGUCGAUCACCAAAAAUAUACGUGUGACGUCGUUGGACUGAAGGCGAUUACGAGGACGACCAUCAACGAUUACGACGAGGAGAAAGAGCGAGAGAGCGAAACAAGCGCGCGUGAGUGCCUGAAGUGGAAAUGCAAGGAGCCGAUCGAUCCGUGUAAAGUUCGAAGAGGAAUAUAGCAGCAAUUAUUACCGUUUGGAGAUCUACAAAGUAGGCGACUUGAAAUCCUACACCGGAUUUGUUUGCCACCGCCUGCUGCUACGAUUGAAUACGACCAGCAGUGACGUGCGAAUCCUUGUUUAUCCCCCCAAUCAAAGUAGACAAUGCCUGGUGAAUGGUGGAUGGUGAUGUUGUCUGACGUGUAGAGCGUCGCAGCAUGCUUUGGGUGAUGGCAGAAGCUGGGAUGGCGCCGAUCGCUGUUGCCGAUGCCAUUGCAGUUCAACAAGCGGAGGAUCCUCGGCCCAUUGGGUCACUUUCUCGCCUACUGCGGCGGUAGGUGUGACCAGGAAGUCAGUGCAUCGUCUACUGCGAUUGAAAAGCCUCAAAGUGCAACGAGUGGUGUUUCCUCAAGUGGUUCAAGUGUGAAGACAAUCGUUGAGAAGAGGAAGCUGUGGGAGCAAGUGUUCAUCCGGUGUUCAGAAACGGUGGGAAAAUCGAAAGAAAUUUUCCAUAAUAGCCAGUCUGAAAGUGCAAAAAUAGUGUCGCCUCUGGGCGAGUUACAACAGUGGGGAAAGGCAAAGUGAGCAAAUCGGUGGAAAAUAGCCGGUUGGUGUUGUAAUACCGACUGGGCCUGGUCUCGAUGUGAUACAAAAUUGCCACCAAGGGAAAACGAAGAAAAAGUGUCGUUUUGUUGUGCAUUGAAGUUGGUUUUGUGUUCGAGCCCCUCAGGGGGAUGUUGCCCGAUAUCGGAAGUAGAAUAGAGAGAGAGAGACGAGCGAGAAGAAUUUAACUGAAAACGUAAGCGGCUUGCACUCGAUGGAUUAUCCAAAUGGCUUACAUUUCGACGCAACAGGGUGUUGUUUCGCAGGGAUUAAGAUCGAUAAUACCCCAAACCCAAUCCAGCGAUUCGAACAACGACAGGUAAAUAUCAUCACCAAACAAACCCGCAACAACACCAUCAGUAUUAUUAACAGCGUCGAAAAAAAAAAAAA